GAUGAACGCUGGCGGCGUGCCUAAUACAUGCAAGUCGAGCGAACAGACGAGGAGCUUGCUCCUCUGACGUUAGCGGCGGACGGGUGAGUAACACGUGGAUAACCUACCUAUAAGACUGGGAUAACUUCGGGAAACCGGAGCUAAUAACGGAUAAUAUAUUGAACCGCAUGGUUCAAUAGUGAAAGACGGUUUUGCUGUCACUUAUAGAUGGAUCCGCGCCGCAUUAGCUAGUUGGUAAGGUAACGGCUUACCAAGGCAACGAUGCGUAGCCGACCUGAGAGGGUGAUCGGCCACACUGGAACUGAGACACGGUCCAGACUCCUACGGGAGGCAGCAGUAGGGAAUCUUCCGCAAUGGGCGAAAGCCUGACGGAGCAACGCCGCGUGAGUGAUGAAGGUCUUCGGAUCGUAAAGCUCUGUUAUUAGGGAAGAACAAAUGUGUAAGUAACUAUGCACGUCUUGACGGUACCUAAUCAGAAAGCCACGGCUAACUACGUG
rnacentral:rRNA from 1 species